rnacentral:rRNA from 1 species
AUUGAACGCUGGCGGCAGGCCUAACACAUGCCAGUCGAGCGAGCGGCGGACGGGUGCGUAAUGUCUGGGAAACUGCCUGAUGGAGGGGGAUAACUACUGGAAACGGUAGCUAAUACCGCAUACCAUCAGAUGUGCCCAGAUGGGAUUAGCUAGUAGGUGGGGUAACGGCUCACCUAGGCGACGAUCCCUAGCUGGUCUGAGAGGAUGACCAGCGACACUGGAACUGAGACACGGUCCAGACUCCUACGGGAGGCAGCAGUGGGUAAGAUUGCACAAUGGGAGCAAGCCGGAUGCAGCCAUGCCGCGUGUGUGAAGAGGGCCUUCGGGUUGUAAAGCACUUUCAGCGGGGAGGCGUUACCCGCAGAAGAAGCACCGGCUAACUCCGUGCCAGCAGCCGCGGUAAUAC